UACGUAGGGGGCUAGCGUUGUCCGGAUUUAUUGGGCGUAAAGAGCGCGUAGGCGGCCCGGUAAGUCCGCUGUGAAAGUCAAAGGCUCAACCUUUGAAUGUCAGCGGAUACUGCCGGGCUAGAGUCCGGAAGAGGCGAGUGGAACUCCUGGUGUAGCGGUGGAAUGCGCAGAUAUCAGGAAGAACACCAACGGCGAAGGCAGCUCGCUGGGACGGAACUGACGCUAAGGCGCGAAAGCGUGGGGAGCGAACAGG
rnacentral:rRNA from 1 species